CGAGCGAUGAAGCACCUUCGGGUGUGAAUUAGCGGCGAACGGGUGAGGAACACGUGAGGAAUCUGCCUUCUACACUGGGAUAACUCCGGGAAACCGGGGCUAAUACCGGAUAUGAAACUUGGUGGCAUCACCGAGUUUGGAAAGUUUUUCGGUAGAAGAUGACCUCGCGGCCUAUCAGCUUGUUGGUGAGGUAAUGGCUCACCAAGGCGACGACGGGUAGCCGGCCUGAGAGGGCGACCGGCCACACUGGGACUGAGACACGGCCCAGACUCCUACGGGAGGCAGCAGUGGGGAAUAUUGGGCAAUGGAGGAAACUCUGACCCAGCGACGCCGCGUGCGGGAUGAAGGCCUUCGGGUUGUAAACCGCUUUCAGUAGGGAAGAAGCGAAAGUGACGGUACCUACAGAAGAAGCACCGGCUAACUAUGUGCCAGCAGCCGCGGUAAUACAUAGGGUGCAAGCGUUGUCCGGAAUUAUUGGGCGUAAAGAGCUCGUAGGUGGUUCGUUACGUCGGAUGUGAAAAUCUGGGGCUCAACCCCAGACCUGCAUCCGAUACGGUCGAGCUAGAGUUUGGUAGGGGAGACUGGAAUUCCUGGUGUAGCGGUGGAAUGCGCAGAUAUCAGGAGGAACACCAAUGGCGAAGGCAGGUCUCUGGGCCAAUACUGACACUGAGGAGCGAAAGCGUGGGGAGCGAACAGGAUUAGAUACCCUGGUAGUCCACGCCGUAAACGGUGGGCGCUAGUUGUGGGAACCUUCCACGGUUUCUGCGACGCAGCUAACGCAUUAAGCGCCCCGCCUGGGGAGUACGAUCGCAAGAUUAAAACAUAAAUGAAU
rnacentral:rRNA from 1 species